rnacentral:rRNA from 1 species
GAUGAACGCUAGCUACAGGCUUAACACAUGCAAGUCGAGGGGCAGCAUGAACUUAGCUUGCUAAGUUUGAUGGCGACCGGCGCACGGGUGAGUAACACGUAUCCAACCUUCCGUUUACUCAGGGAUAGCCUUUCGAAAGAAAGAUUAAUACCUGAUAGUAUGGUGAGAUUGCAUGAUAGCACCAUUAAAGAUUUAUUGGUAAACGAUGGGGAUGCGUUCCAUUAGGUAGUAGGCGGGGUAACGGCCCACCUAGCCGACGAUGGAUAGGGGUUCUGAGAGGAGGUCCCCACAUUGGAACUGAGACACGGUACCAAACUCCUACGGGAGGCAGCAGUGAGGGAAUAUUGGGUCAAUGGGCGAG